rnacentral:lncRNA from 1 species
AUGGCGGACUCCUUACUGCUGCUCAAGAGGGUUCCCUCCCGCCACACGUGGCUGCGGGCUCGCAAGGCCCGGCCCCAGCUCAUCCUCAGCCGCCGGCCCCGCCGCCGGCUCCGGAACCUGCGCUGGCGCAGCCGAAGACGGCUUCGGCGACGGCUGCUGCAGGCCCAGGCAGCCGGCGCGGACUGGCUGCAGGGCGGCUGUCUGGUGUCCGGCGCCGCGGCGCUCCGGAGGCUGAAGACCUCGGCCCGCAGGCGGGCCUCCAGCCCCGAGCCGGCCGAAGACCCGGUCCCGAGUGGUCCUGCGAUCCUCCCCAUUCCGCCAGUGCGGCCAGCUGGCUCGGGCCGCGCUGUCUUGUUGCUGCCGCUGGGGCAGGGCUUUACUUUUAGUGGGAUCUGUCGUGUGACCUGCCUCUAUGGCCAGGUGCAGGUGUUUGGUUUUACCAUCAGCCAAGGCCAGCCUGCCCAAAAUGUCUUCUCUACCUAUACCCACUCUCGCCUGACCAUCAAUGCUGUUCAUUAUUCAGUGCAUGAGAAAAGCAAGAAGGAGAUGAAGAGAGAAGCCCGAGUUCUGCUCAGACCUUAUCUGAACCAAGAUGACAGAUAUUGUUUGAUGAGCAGUUUUUCUCCUCUGUGUUCCAUCGUGUUGCUGGAACGUCUGAAAACCUCCACUGUGAACUUCAUAAUCAGCCAUCCAGGUUUAUCUUACAUUUUCGUACAAGAGGUCCGGACUUUCCAGAUUAACUCUGAGUAUUUUGCCUUGAGAUCUGUGGGUAUUAGAAGAGAGAAAAAAAAAACCGGCUUGCGUUUAACGGAGAGCGCCUUUGCAGCUGUGGAAGAGUUAGUGAGCAUUUCUAGUGAAGAAGCAGACAGCUGCCCUGUCAUUCUGGUUUGUGGCUGCCAGGACAUUGGAAAGUCAACAUUUAAUAGAUACCUCAUUAACCAGCUGUUAAAUAGUAUAUCCUGCGUUGAUUAUUUGGAAUGUGAUCUGGGGCAGACAGAAUUUACUCCUCCGGGUUGCAUUUCUUUGCUUAAUAUUACAGAACCAGUUCUGGGACCACCUUUCACCCACCAGAGGACGCCCCAGAAAAUGGUCUAUUAUGGGAAAACUUCUUGUAAAAACAACUUUGAAAACUAUAUUGAGGUAAUAAAGUAUGUUUUCAGCUCCUACAAGCGAGAGUCCCCUCUUAUCAUCAACACCAUGGGCUGGGUGGCAGACCAGGGUCUCUUGCUCCUCAUUGACCUGAUCCGCCUGCUGUCGCCCAGCCACGUCGUCCAGUUUAGCUCGGACCGGAGUAAAUACAUGCCGGACCUCACCCCUGACUUCGUGGACGACAUGGACGGCUUGUACACAAGACGCAGGUCCAGAGUCAGAAACAGAGGUUUCCACCUGCCUGAAUUUGCCGAGAGUUUGGAGUUUGCUGACGAAGAAAAAGAAAGUCCAGUUAUGUCUACAGGAUACAAGCUGAUGUUCGUGAAGUCGGAGUUUGUCACUGGAAAAACGUCCAGGAAUAGAGAAUCACAUAAUAGAAUCCUUCGUGAGCUGGCGGUGCUGGGUUACCUGAGCCAGUUGCAGCCCCCAGUGCCGAAGCCACUGCGUGCCUUACACGGUCUGACUCCCUAUCAGGUCCCUUUCAAUGCCGUUGCGCUCCGGAUCAUCCAUGCUGACGUGGCCCCCACCCACAUCCUGUACGCUGUGAACGCCAGCUGGGUUGGGCUCUGCAAGAUCCUGGAUGACGUCAGGGGAUACGCCAGUGGGCCCAUCCUGCUUGCCCAGAGUCCCAUCUGCGAUUGUGUGGGGUUUGGUAUUUGCAGGGGGAUCGACAUGGAGAAGAGGCUUUACCACAUCCUCACUCCCGUGCCCCCAGAGGAGCUGAGACACGUGAACUGUCUGCUGGUUGGAGCCGUGUCCAUCCCACAGUGUGUUCUCAAGAGCCAGGGUGGGCUCGAAGGGACCAUACCUUAUGUCACGACAGAUUAUAAUUUUAAGCUUCCUGGAGCAUCAGAGAAGAUUGGAGCAAGAGAAAGUGGGGCAACGUAUAAAGAGAGAGGACAUCCCAAACCUAAGUUUUAUCGAAAAACAUACUGAUGUUCUUAAUACAGGAAGGACUUUCCUCCCAGAAAGCUUGACCAUCUCCAGCCUGACAUCAGUGGACGAUGGGGUUCUGUGACCAUGAACAGAACAGCGUGCUUACGUAGCAAACUGCAAUGUUUCCUACGUAGCUCAUGGAUGCAUUUAGCGUACGUAUACUCUUUAAUCGACAUGACAGAGGUUUUCCCUAGUCUUCUGUUUCGUUUUCUAAAGGAAUCAAGAAGCAGGGACGAGUUUGUGCACCAUUGAAACAGAACAUGGUCGAUUCCUCAUGAAGUUUUUCAAGGACCUGGUUGCUGGUAUCUGGGUAAAAAUAGAGAAACCGGGCCACAGAAAUGUCUCAAAGGGAAAAGCAGGACAUCUGGUGGGAUGGAGAACAUAGAAGGGUACAGAGUUGCCCUGUGGUCCUCGCUUUGGGGGUGCGUCCAGCCCUGCUCACUGGAUGCUCCCCAGCCUCUUCCAUACACAUGGGUUGAGGAUUAUGCUUAUAUUUGGUGUUAAAUUUAUUCAAGGUUUCAUAGAUAAAAGUUUGCCUCAAGAGCCCUUCAAUUUUAAAAAUCGGAUGCUGAAAACUUUUACCCUGAAAAAAUGCUCUCAAACCCAGGAAGCCUGUCCUGGGGCCUCUUUAAAACUCGGUUUGUCCUGAUUGACUUCUUAUCAUGAGAUGGAAAAUGCUCAGUGAGCAGAGCCGGAAACCAGGCUGUUUGGACCAAGGCCGAGCGGAGCGGCUCCUGCUAUUGGUUUCGGUGGUGGUGCUGGACUCCCAGGGGCUUCAGAGGAAAUGGUGGGCCUCCUUCUUCAUCUUCUCCCUGGAGUCAGCAUUCUUUAACCUCCAGGGUUGGAAAUGGUUUGGUAAACAGGCCGGCCAGUUCACAUCACAUCAUGUCUGCGUUUAGGACCCUGAGAUGCCUACAGAAGCAGCAUUUCGUCCUGGUGCUCUGAAUUCCAGCUUCCGAGCAGGACACCUCGAAGGACCACUGUUAGGAUGAGGGUUUUUACCGUUUACGUCCAUUUAAGGUGUUGAUCAUCAUUGUCUUCAGUGUUCUGGGGGCUGACCCCUCAUCUCGUAGAGCCCUUGUCACCCUCCAGAAUCCGAUUUGAAGUCUAGUUUCUCAGUUGCAUCUUAUUUAUAUCUAAGUUUAACUUGUACAUACAAGUUCUAUCUUGGCCUCGCAGCGACUUUUGCAGUCAAUCCACCAUCAACUUUUUGCCUCCUUCACAAGCUCCUGUAUCUUUACAGUGAUGCUUAGGUCUUUAGCAGUAAGUCUUGGGAAGAAUGAAGGUGGUGAUCUGUCAUUCACGUUUUCAUUGAAUCCUGUCUCUCUGGUAGGCUGUUUCCUCCUGGGCUUUAAGGUUGCCGGUCAGUCCCCAUUGGUAAGGAAAACAGCGUUGCCACUAGAGGGAGCUGUCAGCCAUUGGUCAGCUGGCCAUGCAGGGCUGGAGAUGGCGGAGGAGCCCCUGGAGGCCUUUCUCAGCAUCUAGAGAUGCUGGAGACGGCCCUGUGGUCAGCUCCUGGGUGUGCCAGUCAGAAUGGCAACCGUGCACACAUCCUGGGUGUUGGCCCAUUGGAUAAUCAGUGUUGAUGGUUCAGGCUUCUGUCAUUCCCACGGUGUGUGUUGCUUCAGGAUGGCCAGUGAGGGCUCUGUGUUGGAGAUAUGCUUGACAAAAACUCCUGGGACCUCCCUAGUGGUCCAUUAGGACACUGUGCUUCCGUGGCAGGGGGCAAGGGUUCAAUCCCUGGUCGAGGAACUAAGAUCCCACAUGCCGAGUGGGAUGUGAAAAACCAAACAACUCUUAGUCAUUUCUGUGUGAUUUUCAAAGCAGUACAUAACUUAUUUUAAGAAAAUCAAAGGAAUAUAUGACUUAGAACAUGGAAACCCUCAGACACUGAAUUUGUGGUUUGUUAAAAUCAGUUCUUCAGACCUGUUUUUAGGACAGGUAAACACGAAAAAUUGAAAAAAAUCCUCCAAUUUUAGGGUUGAUUUAAUUUUGUGAAGAAAAGUAGUUCUGUUGUUCCCAUCCAUCCCCAGGUAGGUCUUGGGGACAGGAACCAGUUUGUCCUUGGAGACCCCAGUGCAGAACUGAAGAUUGAGAAAGGGGAGAGGAGUAGGUGAGUUAGCCUUGGGAUCAACUGGAGAGGAUAUGGGGGUGGAGAGGACAUGUGGUGAGGCCCCAGCUGAGCCAAGGGGCACCCCCUUGCCGAUACCAGGACCCCUGUGAUGGGCAGGUCCUCACAUUCGCGAACACUCAGGUCUCUGCCCGGAAGAUGGCGCGAGGACCAGGUGACGCGGGAUGGUGGUUUUUAGAUUGUUUGCUCAUUCUUUCCCUUAGAUUUGGGUGAGGCCGUGUGGCUGUUACCAUAGCAGGCUGUGAUGGUGGAGAUCCAGGUCCAUGUCCUGACUGGGCCACCAGCUGGCAGUGUAGCUUUGAGGGGUGUUUCGCUUGAGCCUGUGACCUUUAAGACGGGCGGGUGGUGCUUCUCUCGGGGUCCCCGCAUGAGGAAGGCAUGAAAUGCAUCCACAGCAGGCCUAGCAGUAACUCCUGGCCUGUGGCCUGUCUCUGGCUGGGUUGUAAAUCCUAGCAGACAGGAGGAAGACUGUGUUCCUCAGAGUCACUUUGGGUCGGAGCAGAAACUCAGUGUUCGCGUCUGAAAACAUCUCACCACGGCCCCCCAGUCAGUGGCACCGUCCUUCCUGCUAUGGGUCCUGCUCAGGCUCCCACCCAUCACCUGCCCCUGGGAGUUUUUCAUAAGCCCCACUAUUGCUUUUAAAAUCAUGCAGUCAGCUCACCUGUGUCGGAAACGAUCCUGAAGUCACCACCGUGUUACCACUGUUGACGCCGUGACCCUGUCUCACCCAGUAUUUUUCUAAAUUGCACAUGUGCGUUUGUAUGUUUCACAAACCUGUUUGUCCAAUUGUAUGUAUGGUUUCUAUCCAGCUUUUUUCACUUAUAUGUGAACUUCUGUAUCAAUAAAUAUUUUUGAGAAUGUAAAUUUGUGUCA